AGUGAACGCUGGCGGUAGGCCUAACACAUGCAAGUCGAACGGCAGCACAGAGGAGCUUGCUCCUUGGGUGGCGAGUGGCGGACGGGUGAGGAAUACAUCGGAAUCUACUCUGUCGUGGGGGAUAACGUAGGGAAACUUACGCUAAUACCGCAUACGACCUACGGGUGAAAGCAGGGGACCUUCGGGCCUUGCGCGAUUGAAUGAGCCGAUGUCGGAUUAGCUAGUUGGCGGGGUAAAGGCCCACCAAGGCGACGAUCCGUAGCUGGUCUGAGAGGAUGAUCAGCCACACUGGAACUGAGACACGGUCCAGACUCCUACGGGAGGCAGCAGUGGGGAAUAUUGGACAAUGGGCGCAAGCUGAUCCAGCCAUACCGCGUGGGUGAAGAAGGCCUUCGGGUUGUAAAGCCCUUUUGUUGGGAAAGAAAUCCAUCUGGCUAAUACCCGGGUGGGAUGACGGUACCCAAAGAAUAAGCACCGGCUAACUUCGUGCCAGCCGCCGCCGUAA
rnacentral:rRNA from 1 species